UUAAUGUAUUUUGUAUAUGUUUUCCUUAUGAAUUAUCCUCUUAUCCAACAACUGAUAUGCAUCAGUAAUUUUAGAAUUUGUAAUUACCAACUUAAAAAAAUUAAAAGGUUUCAGUUUAAUUGAGUUACAGUUGAAGCUAAUUCAGGAGAUGAACAAAAUCCUAAAAACCAAGGAAGGACUCGGUAUCAGAUAAAUCCAGUUAACACCUACAUCUAUCUAUCAUUUUGUAUUGAAAACAGCUUUAAUUACGAAUAAUGGCAGCGUGUUGUUGCUAAAAGAAGGAUUUGUCACAAUGAGUUGGUAAGUAACAACAUUAAUGAAGCAUAGUUGUGAAAUUUUUAUUAAACUACCCCAUAAAUCUCAACUCCUUCAACAUUUGUAACCUACUUUCAUCAUUCAUGUUUAAAGUUUAAAAUGUGUAAGUAGACCCUGGGUUCUACUUACACAUUUCUAAAUAGUUUUGUUUUUAAUUUAAACAACUUCUAAAGUAUGACAAAACAUACAAAAAAAUGCCCAAAAACUAAACUUGCACAGUUUUAUACAUGAAGUAGAAAGUGAUGUCUUUGACAUUUGUAGGCAGUUGGAAAGAAAAAAAAAAAAAGUUAUUUUUUGUCUCCAAUUAGAUAUAAAGAGGAGCCAUAAGAUUUCCACCCUUGGAAACUGAAAAAUGAUCUCAAAUUGAUGCCUGUCGCUAAUGUAAUGUCUGUAACAUCGAAUUGGUUACACUUCAGUUACUUUUGGUUAUGUUAGAUGUUAAUUGAAUCAGAAAGUAAGGGAUGACAUUGAGAAUAUUUUUCAUGUUUUGGUUGGGUAAACAAUUGGUAAUAAAUUUUAAUUUUCAUGUUUUUGUUUCUAAAAAUCCCAUACAAAAAUUAAAAAGGAGGUGUCUUUAUUUACUUUUGAAGGAAUUCUGUUAUGCAAUUUGUCAUAAACAAAUCACAAAAUUUUGUUACUGAAGCUUCGGAUAGUUAUGUUGGAAUAUUAUUGUGUUCAAAUUACAAAUUAUUAGUUUUCGUAAUAGAUACAAAAAGGUGUAAUAGAGUAGUUUCGUUAAAAAAUCAGUUUUUUCGUAAAUGCUUUUUUUUAUUUAAGGGAAUUUGUUAUUGUUAUAAACAAAUGGUUCAAAACCAAAGCUGUUUUAUUUUAAUGUUUGUUUUUUAUUCGUUAAUUCAGUGGUUUUAUUUUGGCUACGUAAGUAUUUUAUGAACACGUUUUGAGGGAUUUUGGAAUUUAGUGUUUUAAUCAGGGUUACUGAAUUAUUGAUUUUUGAAAACAGAUUAUCAAUUAUUUAGUUGGGGUUGUAGCUAAUUGCAAAGUUAAGUUUAUCUAAAAAGGCCUAGUUGGCGUUAUAGCUCCACUACGUUUUACUGAUUUUGUCACAAAAAUUCUUACAGAACAUCGAUUCCACUUCGAAAUACAAAUUUAAAAAUGUUUUUAUUUCUUAAUUAUUAACAUAAAAAUAAUAAUUAAGAAUUGCAACUGCCGCCCGAUGGCUAGAACACUUGACAGUGAA